AAAAUAUUCAGCAUCCGAGAUCAUGGUGAAUGCUGUCGGAGGUUACCAGAGAGAUCAAGGGAACCAAAAUGUCCUAUAGAGAAUCAUUGUGUUAAUCCAUUUGUUUUGAAGCACAGAAGGUUUUAUUAUUACGAGUAUUUGUUUACCACCUAGAUGAGAAGUAACCACUUGGACCUGAUUUUAUUAUGGCUUUUAUUAUUAC